GUCUUUUUAUAGUCCAUAGCACAGUGAUUGGAUUUUCUUGUGCACAUGUGAAGUAUACUGCCCUCAAACCUUGUUAAUGUCUGCAUGUUGCCUGUCUGACA